AUUGAACGCUGGCGGCAUGCCUUACACAUGCAAGUCGAACGGCAGCGGACCUUCGGGUGCCGGCGAGUGGCGAACGGGUGAGUAAUAUAUCGGAACGUACCUCUCAGUGGGGGAUAACGUAGCGAAAGUUACGCUAAUACCGCAUAUUCUGUGAGCAGGAAAGCAGGGGAUCGCAAGACCUUGCGCUGAUUGAGCGGCCGAUAUCAGAUUAGCUAGUUGGUGAGGUAAAGGCUCACCAAGGCGACGAUCUGUAGCGGGUCUGAGAGGAUGAUCCGCCACACUGGAACUGAGACACGGUCCAGACUCCUACGGGAGGCAGCAGUGGGGAAUUUUGGACAAUGGGGGCAACCCUGAUCCAGCCAUUCCGCGUGAGUGAAGAAGGCCUCGGUUGUAAGACUCUUUCUAGCAGGAACGAAACGGUAGGU
rnacentral:rRNA from 1 species